GAUGAACGCUGGCGGCGUGCCUAAUACAUGCAAGUCGAACGGGGAGUCGCAAUACUCUUAGUGGCGAACGGGUGAGUAACGCGUUGGUACCUGCCCCGAAGCGGGGGAUAACGGACCGAAAGGUCCGCUAAUACCCCAUGUGCUCGGUAACGAGUAAAGGUGAAAACCACUUUGGGAGGGGCCUGCGUCCCAUCAGCUAGUUGGUAAGGUAACGGCUUACCAAGGCGAUGACGGGUAGGGGACCUGAGAGGGUGGCCCCCCACAAUGGAACUGAAACACGGUCCAUACACCUACGGGUGGCGGCAGUAGGGAAUAUUGGUAAUGGGCGCAAGCCUGAACCAGCAACGCCGCGUGUGCGAUGACGGCCUUCGGGUUGUAAAGCACUUUUGACUGGGACGAGGAAGGACGGUACCGGUCGAAUCAGCCUCGGCUAACUACGUG
rnacentral:rRNA from 1 species